rnacentral:rRNA from 1 species
UACAGAGGUCUCAAGCGUUGUUCGGAUUCAUUGGGCGUAAAGGGUGCGUAGGUGGCGAGGUUAGUCAGGUGUGAAAUCUCGGGGCUCAACCCCGAAACUGCACUUGAUACUGCCUUGCUAGAGUACUGGAGAGGAGAUUGGAAUUUACGGUGUAGCAGUGAAAUGCGUAGAUAUCGUAAGGAAGACCAGUGGCGAAGGCGAAUCUCUGGACAGUUACUGACACUGAGGCACGAAGGCCAGGGGAGCAAACCGGG